UGCAACUUAGGGGCCACUCUCUGGGGCUGCUCAAGACUCCUCUUGUGUUGCUUUAGCUUGGAAUCUGUCUCUGCUAGCUGGCCCUAGUGAGUAAGCUUCAUUACCUCCAAGACAAAGUGCGUUAAUAUUCCUUCUUUUAAAUCAAAAUACAAACAAAAAGCAAGCAAGAAGAAAAAAUGUGUUCUUCAAAAUCUAAGGACAAAAAGUCAGAAUUAUUCAACUCAAGGUGUGAAAGGAGAAGUGACCAUCUCCUAUGAAAUGGAAAAAAAAAAAAGAAAACACAAAAUCAAAGAAAACCACAAGAUGGUCUGGGAAAGCUGAAGUGCUGCAAGAGGGGAACCAGACUGGAUCACAGGACUCAGCAGCAGCAUCACACCAUUCAGGAAAGAUGGCUUCACCCUCCUUCCUGCACCUCCAUCGCUCUCCUGGCUCUUAGUUUAUAUCCCCACACCUCUUAGCAUGAAUAUGUUCUAGAAGGGCUGAUGAAACUCCCAGCGGUGAAAGAAGAUUUAGGGAUCUCUUAAGGUUUCUUAUCACUGAACAACAUAACUCUCUGAUGGUUCAGUACCUGAAAGGGUCGUCUGAGAUCUCUCAUCAAAUACUUCAAGGAGUCGGCUGGCAAGAGUGGGAACCCAGAGUAAAUUCAUGUCUACUUUCAAACAUCUAAUCUGCCAUCUAAUA